rnacentral:rRNA from 1 species
UACGUAGGGUGCAAGCGUUAAUCGGAAUUACUGGGCGUAAAGCGUGCGCAGGCGGUUGUGCAAGACAGAUGUGAAAUCCCCGGGCUCAACCUGGGAACUGCAUCUGUGACUGCAUCGCUGGAGUGCGGCAGAGGGGGAUGGAAUUCCGCGUGUAGCAGUGAAAUGCGUAGAUAUGCGGAGGAACACCGAUGGCGAAGGCAAUCCCCUGGGCCUGCACUGACGCUCAUGCACGAAAGCGUGGGGAGCGAAACAAGG